GGGGGCGACAUGGCUUCGACGCCGAUGACAACCUCCUAGGUGCAUGCCGAGAGCGUGAUGUAUCUCGUAAAUCCAACAUCACAAUUAAAUAGUCGCAAACGACGAAAACUACGCUCAGGGCGCUCUGGCAGCUUAAAAACUGCUGGUAGUUAGCCUGGCCCCAAAGCGAUGUGCCUAUCCAUCGUGGAGGGGAGAUGAGCUAAAGCUGAUAGGAUCGCGGUUGACGGCGCCUUCCCGUUAACCGUUAACACUUAGAAGGAUCGCGGUAUGGAAUCCUGCCCGUCGGAGUUCAUGCCGUUAAAUCAAAAGACGGACCUAAGCAUGUAGAGCCGAAGAGCGCGUGUCGGCGGACGCGGGUUCAAUUCCCGCCGCCUCCACCA
rnacentral:tmRNA from 1 species